UUUAUCGUGGGUGCUCUUUAAAAAA
rnacentral:siRNA from 1 species